UACUUUGCUUUGGGAGGGCCAUCUGGCCAGACUAAUAAAGGUCUGUUUUAUUUUCCAGCUUGUCCGGUGUGUUCCUUCCCGGGUGUUCUUCGCUGCAGUCAGCUCCUCGGAGCAUUUGGUAAGGCCCUCAGUCUUACAUUUUGGAGGCCCCAGCGAGAUCCCCGGGUAGGAACCCUGAUUUGGCCGAGACUCCGUGGCGGGAUCCAGCAGGAGGCUCUUGGGCACAGACCUCAGAAAACCUCCGGAGUGGCAAGUUAAUUCCUCGGGUGGGAGAGAAGCUCUCCAAAACUACCGUCAGCAUCUCCUAGCCGGCUUGAGGGGAGCCGCUCGGAAGCCUACCAAUUUGAGCAAGUAUGUAGAUGACCUCCUGGUGGCGACUUCGACUGAUGAAGAGUGUCUUGCAGCCACCGAGGGCCUCCUGGAAGCCCUCCAAGACCUGGGAUAUCGGGUGUCUUAGAAGAAAGCUCAGCUCUGUCGGACCAAGGUUUGAUUCCAAGACCCUAGAACCACACUGGAAGGGACUGGUUCCUGUUGUCCUGUCAACUCCCUUGGCAAUGAAGGUAGCUGGACAGUCUGCCUGGAUACAUCGCAACCAUCUGAAGGCAGGACCCCCUGUGGACGUCACGAAGAACAAAUGGAAGGUUAUCAGCCAACCAGGCAACCGAAAGCUGAGACUGGGGCCGGUUGGAGAUAUUUCUCAUUCUUGAUAAUAUUCUCUGGGACAUUGGUGGUACUGCCCGCAAGAAAAUUGAACCACACUGGAAAUGUAUGGGUUCAAUUGGCAAAAUCGCUUAAUCUGUCUGAAUUCUCUCUGAAUAUAGAUAUAAAUUUCCAUUAUGUAUUAGGAAGCUAUCUCAUUCUGGUGUGCACCCCUUUAAGUUUAAUAUGGCCCUAUACCCUGUUUAAGGAUAUCCCAGGGAAAAAUCUCACUUAUAAAGAUAGUUACAAUUGGGGGCAUCCCUCAUAUCAUAAACCUAAAAAUGCUGUCAAAUUAUAUGCACCCAGGAUAAUUAUGUCAAAUAAUACCCAAUGUGCUAUGUAUGUAAAUUGUACAACCAAGUGUCUGAGAAUAAAACGAUCUGAAGGGAUGCCCUGCCAUAUAAAAUGGAAAA